rnacentral:lncRNA from 1 species
CCCCUAUGACUUAUGUCACCCUAUACACGAUUGUUUCACAUCAUUAGUCAGUUUUUAAUAUUUACUCUCCUCUCCUCUCUCAAGAGAAAAAAAUUAGGGUUUCUUCCCAAGAAUAAGAAAUUCAAGCUUUCUUCCCCAAGAACUCAAGAAUUCAAGUUCCAAUUUCAAGUUUUCUUCAAGAAGUCAUCUAAUUGAGGUAUGUGGGGUAUUCAUCAAUGGGUUCAUUUCACCCAUUCAGCCCUAAAACACUUUUUUUUGGUUUAAAGUAUGAAUUUUAUUCUAUUUUAUGAAAUCACCAUGAAACUUUUGAAUUUAAUCCAUGUAUUUCUUAGUAAUUUAAAUUCAAGCCAUGUCAAUAUGUUUUCCCAUGUAAACUAGUUUAUUUCAUGCUUUAAAUUCCAAUUACUCAUGUUCUAUUCAAGUGAUUCCAUGUCAAAUCUUCGAGUUAUGAAUUAAAUCAUGUGAAUAUGUUGUUUUCUCAAGUUUAACUCAUUCCCAUGUUUAAGUUUAUGUAUUUCAAUCAAUUAUUAACAUGUCUUAUGUUUUGGGUCUCUAAACUAUGAUUUCAUAGCACCGUUUUGAGCAUUGUUAUCGUAUUUUAGUAUCUUUCAAUGCUGGAGGGUUAUGAACACCCAAUUCCUUUAUAUUUUUACAUGUUUCCAUUUUAAAGUAACAAGUCAGUAAUACUAUGAUUUUACUAUCAAAUUUAAAUUACCAUGUUAAUACUGAGCAUUUAUCAGUACAGUACCAUAUUAUGUUAAACUAAUAAUAACACUUGAGUCAUUCAGUUGGGAGUAACACUUAACACUGAGUGAACACAGAGAUGACAACUCGCUCAUCAGUUAGGCAUGAGUCAUUAGUAGAAGUACCUAAGAUCAAGACCUAUGGAACCACCGUAGAUUAUGAGGGAUCCCCAUCUGUUAGGGAUGACACCCUCGUCCUUCGGGACAUCAACCUUGUAGAUCCAUAUCGUCAGUCAUGUGUUAGUACCCUUGAAAAGGUACCAACACCCUUCUAACUAGGGUUAUAGGUUGGACCCUGAUAGCUUAAAUUGGGACAUAUUGGUUGUAGUUAUUUCCCACAGUCUUAGUACAGUAUUCAGAGUGUGUUAGUUUAGGUUUGCAUGAGCUAGUAUUCAGACAUCAACUAUUUAGAUAUUCAGAUAUCAGUUAUUCAGUUAUUUAGAUCAUGUCAGUACAUAUUUAUGCUUGGUGUUGAAUUCUCAGUUUUACAUGUUCAUGUUUUUUCAUGUCAGUAUCCAUACAUGAUCCUCAGUUCAAUUUUACAGCAUGUUUAGCUUUACAUGAGAUUUACAUAUAAUAUCCAUGUUUUACCACUUCCCAACUUCAUUUCUACUUAUUCUAUAAAAGUAAAGAUUUAAGAAACUAAGUGCAGUGAUUCACCAGCUUAUCAAAUUAUGUUUGUUAGUCAUGUUUUAAGGUACUUCAACUUUUAGUUGAUUUUAGUAUCUUGGUGAGUCUACUUGCACUUAGCAUGCAUGUUUUAAGAUUAUGUAUCUAUUCAGUUUUACUUGUUGCAUUCACUGCCAAUUACUCAGUACAUUCCAUAAGUACUAAAAACAUAUAUGUCUAUAUGGAUACAUUAUUUCAUAAUGUAGGUACUAUAAGUAGUCCACAUACCAGGGUC